CGCCAUCUCCCUCCUUGCCUGGAGUCUGAUCUGUCCCGGCCCAGUGUCCUCCAGGACCCUGGCCCCUCAUGCCUCCGUGCUUGCGCGUGUGCCAUUUCCUCUCUCCAGAGGACCUUUCCUGCCUAGGACUCAUGAUUGUCCCCUCCCUGCUGUUGCCUAGUUUCCUGGUAUUAAGGAGAAUCAACUCUCUGGAUAAACGUGGUAAAUAUGGCCCAUAGUCCCAUCUUUUUACAGGCAUUUUUUACACCUGGAGCAGCCAGAGGACGCAUGCAUGGCUCUUCGGAAGCCUUCUCCUGCCACGGCAUGCACCCACACAUGCGAGCCUCCCGGGUACUGUCAUCCUGAAUUCUGAGACCAUCCAGCACUUCCUUUAGUUUUGCCCUGGUGCUGUUGACUUUUGUUUACUGAAGAGUGUGCUGGAGGCAGGACAAGGGACAUGGAAGGCUGCAAUUUAAGAGUCUAAAAGGUUUUAGAAUCCUGAAGGAGGUUUAACAAGCUGAAUUGAAGAAUAAUACCUUUCUCAACUGGAGAGAAUUUACAUGAUUGCAUUAUUGUUAAAAUUAACAUCUCAUCUAUUAAAAGCAUUUGUAGAUUAUCUUUGUACCUUCACUUUCUUUGUCUGCCUUACAUUAGGUCUCAGAGGUAGAUUGGUGGAGUCACCUGGAGUUUGUUGGUGACUUGGGGUUUGGCUGGCCUGUGGAGUCAGCCAGACUCUAGCUCUGAUCCAGAUUCUGCCCUUUAUCUCCUCUGUGCCCUUGGGAAAGUCAGUGAAACUUUCUGAGCCACAGUUUCUCCAAUAAGGAAAAACGACCGCCAACGGGGCUACCUGUUGAGCCCUACCUCCAACAGGGCUGCUGGGAGGAUUAGCCAAAGAGAUGUCUGUGAGGGAAACCAGCACAGACUCUGGCAUGGAGUAUGUACCCGGGGAUACCAGGACGAGGCCUGCCCCGAACGUGCAGGCCCACAUACGUGCAUACGUGUGGACGUGCACAUGCAUGCACACAGUGUGCACACAGGGUGAGGCACCGUGAAGCUGAGGCCGCACUUCUGGGCUUUCAGCCUUGGCAUUGUGGUUUCCAUCGCUGGGCCUGCUAUGAAGCCACGCUGCUUUUCAGAAAUACCUUCAGAAAUGAGAUUGGGAAACUUUAGUGAAAAACGUGUUGAUUGCCUGAGGCACUGCUCUGCCUCCGGGCUGUUUUCCUGGAGUGUGAUUUCCCCGUCAGAGUGCUGCAGUGGGCCAGGGACUUGUCUAGGGUGCCAUGGAGGCACAACUGUUGAUUAUGUUAAUAGGAUAAACAAACCUUCUUUGACACCAUAAAUAGCAGACGCUGUGCUUUCCUCCCCACCUCCUGGGCAGGGAAAAUAUUUGAAGCUGGAAGGAAUUGAGCCCUGAGCUUAAUACAGUUACAGACCCAGAAAGAAAACAAAGAUGGGUACAAAGAUGUGUUUUCAGGAGACAGAAAAUUGUGAAAUCAACCCAUCAGUCGGCCCAGGACUGGCUCACCUUGAGUGGCUCCUGGUACAGUGACUGCUGUGGAUGGCAGCCUGCAUGGUGGAUGGGAAAGCGGAGUUCGUGUGGGAGACAGAGCUCUCGCGAAGCUGUGCUGUUUUCUCUUAAGUAGGCUAGAAUGGAGGACAACUUACAGGUAGACCUAACUGCAACCUGUUGACAGUGAAGCUAAAGUCCGAACACACCCGUCACCUUUCAGAGGACAGACAGAAGCCAUCUU
rnacentral:lncRNA from 1 species